rnacentral:rRNA from 1 species
GACGAACGCUGGCGGCGUGCCUAAUACAUGCAAGUCGAGCGGACUUUCAAGAAGCUUGCUUUUUGAAAGUUAGCGGCGGACGGGUGAGUAACACGUGGGCAACCUGCCUGUAAGACGGGGAUAACUCCGGGAAACCGGGGCUAAUACCGGAUAAUAUCUUUCUUCGCAUGAGGAAGGUUGAAAGGCGGCGCAAGCUGCCGCUUGCAGAUGGGCCCGCGGCGCAUUAGCUAGUUGGUGAGGUAACGGCUCACCAAGGCGACGAUGCGUAGCCGACCUGGGAUGGUUUACGGCCACACUGUGACUGAGACACGGCCCAGACUCAUACGGGAGGCAGCAGUAGGGAAUCUUCCGCAAUGUACGAAAGACUGACGGAGCAACGCCGCGUGAGCGAAGAAGGUCUUCGGAUCGUAAAGCUCUGUUGUCAGGGAAGAACAAGUACCGUUCGAAUAGGGCAGUACCUUGACGGUACCUGACCAGAAAGCCACGGCUAACUACGUGCCAGCCGCCGCUGUAA